rnacentral:rRNA from 1 species
AGCGAACGCUGGCGGCAGGCCUAACACAUGCAAGUCGAACGAACUCUUCGGAGUUAGUGGCGGACGGGUGAGUAACACGUGGGAACGUGCCUUUAGGUUCGGUAUAACUCAGGGAAACUUGUGCUAAUACCGAAUGUGCCCUUCGGGGGAAAGAUUUAUCGCCUUUAGAGCGGCCCGCGUCUGAUUAGCUAGUUGGUGAGGUAAAGGCUCACCAAGGCGACGAUCAGUAGCUGGUCUGAGAGGAUGAUCAGCCACAUUGGGACUGAGACACGGCCCAAACUCCUACGGGAGGCAGCAGUGGGGAAUCUUGCGCAAUGGGCGAAAGCCUGACGCAGCCAUGCCGCGUGAAUGAUGAAGGUCUUAGGAUUGUAAAAUUCUUUCACCGGGGACGAUAAUGACGGUACCCGGAGAAGAAGCCCCGGCUAACUUCGUG